rnacentral:rRNA from 1 species
GAUGAACGCUGGCGGCGUGCCUAAUACAUGCAAGUCGAGCGAACGGGCGAGAAGCUUGCUUCUCUGAUGUUAGCGGCGGACGGGUGAGUAACACGUUGAUAACCUACCUAUAAUACUGGGAUAACUUCGGGAAACCGUAGCUAAUACCGGAUAAUAUUUUGAACCGCAUGGUUCAAAAGAGAAAGACGGUCUUGCGGUCACUUAUAGAUGGAUCCGCGCUGCAUUAGCUAGUUGGUAAGGUAACGGCUUACCAAGGCAACGAUGCGUAGCCGACCUGAGAGGGUGAUCGGCCACAUUGGAACUGAGACACGGUCCAGACUCCUACGGGAGGCAGCAGUAGGGAAUGUUACGCAAUGGGCGAAAGCCUGACGGAGCAACGCCGCGUGAGUGAUGAAGGCCUUCGGAUCGUAAAACCCUCUUAUGAGGGAAGAACAGAUGUGGAAGUAAACGUGGACAUCGUGACGGUACCUAAUCAAAAAGCAACGGCUAACUACGUG